AGGACGAACGCUGGCGGCGUGCUUAACACAUGCAAGUCGAGCGACGCUCUCCUUUCGGGGGGAUGACGGAGCGGCGAACGGGUGAGUAACACGUGGGCAACCUGCCCCUAGCUCUGGGACAACUCCUCGAAAGAGGGGCUAAUACCGGAUAUGACCCUGGAAGGCAUUUUCUGGGGUGGAAAGUUUUUCGGCUAGGGAUGGGCCCGCGGCCUAUCAGCUUGUUGGUGGGGUAAUGGCCUACCAAGGCGACGACGGGUAGCCGGCCUGAGAGGGCGACCGGCCACACUGGGACUGAGACACGGCCCAGACUCCUACGGGAGGCAGCAGUGGGGAAUAUUGCGCAAUGGGCGAAAGCCUGACGCAGCGACGCCGCGUGAGGGAUGAAGGCCUUCGGGUUGUAAACCGUCUUUCAGCAGGGACGAAAUCAGACGGUACCUGCAGAAGAAGCACCGGCCAACUACGUGCCAGCAGCCGC
rnacentral:rRNA from 1 species